rnacentral:misc_RNA from 1 species
UAAUAGGUGUUUUAUGGCACUUUUUAAAUCCAUAUCCACCUUGUGUGCAAUGUCAGUCGAUCUUCUUCAUGGAGAUCGACCAAACAUCAACCUUUAUCUUUUAACUCUUUGUCUGAAAAAUAUUAUGAAUAAACAAUUCAAAAUA